CCUACGGGAGGCAGCAGUGGGGAAUAUUGGGCAAUGGGCGCAAGCCUGACCCAGCAACGCCGCGUGAAGGAAGAAGGCUUUCGGGUUGUAAACUUCUUUUGUCAGGGACGAAGCAAGUGACGGUACCUGACGAAUAAGCCACGGCUAACUACGUGCCAGCAGCCGCGGUAAUACGUAGGUGGCAAGCGUUAUCCGGAUUUACUGGGUGUAAAGGGCGUGUAGGCGGGGAAGCAAGUCAGAUGUGAAAACCACGGGCUCAACCUGUGGCCUGCAUUUGAAACUGUUUUUCUUGAGUGCUGGGGAGGCAAUCGGAAUUCCGUGUGUAGCGGUGAAAUGCGUAGAUAUACGGAGGAACACCAGUGGCGAAGGCGGGUUGCUGGACAGUAACUGACGCUGAGGCGCGAAAGCGUGGGGAGCAAACAGGAUUAGAUACCCCUGUAGUC
rnacentral:rRNA from 1 species